rnacentral:piRNA from 1 species
UGAUGACAAAACAAAGGGAGAUGAUAC